GAUCUGCAAUUUCCGAACCGGUAUGGAGGAAAGAAACAGCAACCCCAAAACAGAAAAAUGCACGCCCUCGCCCCCGUGAGCCCACGCCCGUCACUCCCCACGAACCCGCCGCCUCCCUCCCUCCUACACCAGCGCAACCCUUACCUCACGCCGACAGCCGCCCUCCCUCGCGCCGGCAGCCGCCCUCCCUCGCGCGAUGGCCUCCUCCACCCCCCACGCUCAGGUCGCCUUCCUUCCUGCGCUCCGGUCUCCUUCCUCCUUGCGUGCCAGCCUCUUCCCUACCCCGCACUCCAUCUGCCUUUCUUCCCGCACUCCGGCCGUCUUCCUCCCCGCGCUCCGGCUGCCUUCCUCCCCGCGCUCCGGCCUCCUUCCUCCUCGCAAUCCGUCCGCCUCCCUGCCCGCACUCCGUCCACCUUCCUCCCCGAGAUCCGUCCGCCUUCUCCCCUGAGAUCCCACGGCCGUACCACCGCCGACCAACCCCUCCAUCUGUAAGUAAGGGCACUAGGCCGCCCUCCACACUGGGGUGGCCCUGCUAGCCAUCAGUGGGGGAAGCGGAGUGGCUGCCAUGGCGGGGGUGGAGACGUGUUCGUCCUGGGCGUGCGCGUCCUCGGGAAGUCCAUCUGCAAUUUGGGCACCUCGCCGAGACCUCAUAGUGCUCGUCCCAGACUACUCUCCGAAGCCACUCGAGGUAUGCGUGCACAUCUGCAUUUCAGUCGACAAAAAUCAACAGAAUUGGUACUAUGAACUUCUGUGCUGGUCGGUCUUGUCUGUUACUUUAAUGUUGGACUGAGGAAUUUGGCACUAAAAUGAAAUCAUAUACAAGCUGAAACAUCGAGCUCACAGCUUCUGUUUGUAGUUUGAACUUAGGCUCCUCUCUCUCCCUCUGUCGUACUUCAAUCGUUCUUUGCCAUGAUGUUGAAUCAAGUAACUGUGCGUGCAUUGCAGCAGUAAUGUUUAUUUGGUGCAGAAAGCUCACAAAAAAAUCCAUCUCGAUUAAUUAGCAUUUUGGAAGUGCAUGCUUUGGCAGUUAACUACUGAGUGCAUCUAUCUUUCCCCUGGAAUAUGUAUAGUGUGGUGUCGUCAGUAUGCUGAAGAUGAAGUUUCCCCUAGCCGUCGGGCCCCGGCCCCUCCCUGCGAAGCUCCCAGUCGCCAUCUGCGCCAAGUCCGCACUCGAUCUACAGUUCAUUGUUGGCUAGCUGAAGGUCCAGGUUUGCUAAAAAAAUUCAGUGCAUCUUUAUAUAUUGUUCAGUUCAUCUACUUGCCAAUCAUAAGUCCAAUUUCAGAUAUGAAUAAAGCUCAAACCAAGUUAAAAAAUUAUUUUCUUCAUAAAUGAGUUGUUUUUGGUUAAUUUCUUUUUAUGGACAGUACAAAUGCACACUAUUGUGUGGUGCAUCUGUUUAUUGUAAUUGUGGUUUGGUGUUCAGAAGAAGACAACAAAAAAGGUUCAUAAAAGAACCCAAAAACAGUCCGUAGUUUUGGAAGCCCAAAUUUCAGUUCAACAUGUCUUCUAUCAUCAGCUCAUUAAGAACCCCAGAAACGGUUCAAUGUGUGUGUGUUCAAAAAAUAACAAAAAUGGAGGUUCAGAGAUGGCACCGAGAGAAGUUGGAAAAAACGGUUUCAACAUAAUAAAAUAACUGCAAAAUGUUUUUGUAUUUGGGUUAUAAAAUAAUCGUCUCAGUUCAACGAGUUAAAAUCGUCUUAGGUCAAUUAGUUAAAUCAUCUCAGUUCUACUAUAUUUGUUGCGACAAGAAUGGUUCAAGAUUAGUUAAUCCUUCUUCCACUUCCUCCACAAGAAAAUGAGCUCUAAAGAUUCAGUAUUUCACCUUGCAUACAACUCAGAGAACUACCUCUACAGACCUGGCUAGUAGGAGCAUCGAAAAUAGGAUGCACAAAACAUCAGGAAAAGAUUUUUGCACCAUUGUAUCAACCCCAAGCCAGUCGGGAUAGUUGAGGAGUUGUGUCGUGGUCGCCUGGUAGUGUCCUUGUCACCGUCCGUCUUCAAGCUGGCCGCGAGGGCCAGCAAGAUGUUGCAUGCGCCGACGAAGAUUCCAUAUCUGACUAGCAGCUGGUCAGAUGCCCGUGUGUGUGCCUUAAUUCUUUCUCACUACUAGCACUUGGUUUACCAUCGGUAGGUAGUUUGUCUAAAGUUAUCUGGAUUGCACUGAUGUCCUGGUAGCCUAAAAAAUGCAUACUGUUAGCACUUGUGGUUUGCUUAUGUAUAUUAUGGGAAUUCUUUGGCUGCACUGCAACGCUCUGGCCAGGUGGCAGCAAACCAAACAGAGAGGGCAAGUGAGAGACGAAGCCUCCUCUGCCUAGGACAUCGGAGAGUCGAACCCCAACAGCCAUUUUCUUGGCAGGCUAGCACUCGCUUUGGCGGCAUGGAAGAUGAGUGUGCCCUGUAUGCGGGUACCGUGACAUUGAGUAGGCGCGAAGUGUAUCACUCCAGCACGCCAAAGCUCCAGUGCAUGUCAACGUCUUCUCCACUGCAAUGGAAGCUCCUCCGUUCGAGUUGAGCACUGGUCAUCAUCCAAGUUGAACACUAGGUGCUGUCCAAGUUCAAAGAGGGUUGUAUGCUAAGUUUGUUUUAGUGAGAAAAAUGCGGGGAUUUGACAAUAUUCUGUAUGAUUCAUUUAUUCAACCUUAGAACUUGGCGAUAUUCGGUCUAUUUUUCUAUGAUGAAGGCACACAUGAAGUCAUGUGCAAUGGUAUCCCCCUAGUGCUUCAAA